UUUCACCCCAAGAUGGUGGCGCCUGUCGGUCAGUGGAAGUUUUGGAAACCAGAUGGCUGGCCGGGUAGCUGAGGAGAGGGAUGUCUUACUGGGUCAUGAAGUUGGAUACUGCAUACGAUUUGAUGAUUGUACUACUCACCCACAGGCUACAAGGAUUAAGUCCUGGUCCAGAUUAUGUGAAAUCAACUGCGGAAACUAUCAUGAAAAUUCAUCAGACAGAAGGUGGUCCAGACCCUGCUCUAAGGUGCAUAGUAUCUGGAUUCUUUGCUAAUGCAGCCAGGAGCCUACAGGGUUGUUUACAAUGAAGACAUACAGACCUCAAAGUAUUACAUGCGAGACAUAACAGCUGUUGAAAAUGCUUGGCUUCUGGAAUUGGCCCCUCACUUUUACCAGCAAGGAAAGCUUCUUUCUCUGAAAGCCAAAAGAGCCAAAGUAGAUGAUCGCUGAUGCGCCAUGGCCGUCGAACUUCGCAGUGUGUGAUGCUGAACUUGCUGCCAAUUUGAAACUGUGCUACUGUCCAUCUAACAAUUAGCUGAUUAGCCACAUGACCCUGCAUCAACUAUAAAUGUUGAAAUGCCUGCCUGCCAAGAUAUUGUAGGGAUUUAUGCAUGGCCAAUACAUUGUAACACUUCAGUAGAGCUUGUAUUGCGGACAUUUUAUCCAGCAGUCUAAUUGUGAUGACUGCUCCGGUUAACCAGGGCAUUUGCUCCUUUUAAAUUAAGUAGGAAAAUACACAAUACGAAGGUGACAUGAACAAUCAUAAGAAAUAUUGCAAUGCUUGGAUAGCUGCUCUGCACCCUUGGGCUAGAGAGGGGGAGGAGAAGAUACAGUGCCCUCAGAGUGAUGAAGUGAAGUUCAGGAACCUUUACACCACUGUGAAAGCUGUUGGCCAACCUGCCAAUCUUAUGCAGAAAUAGUUAUACAUAUUUGGUUUUAGCUUUUUGUUAUUGUGAAUCCUGAAAAUCCUCUGUGUUGGGUCUGUGGUCUUGCAAAGUGUUCCUUUUGCCUGAGAUUCAUGAUCACUAUCAGUGGGUCAGUUAUCAGUCAAAUGGCAGUGACUACAUACUAGGGAGGAGAAAGACAGCCAGCAGGCAGGAUGACCAUCUUCAGAGAGAAUUCUCUUUCCUUCAGGCUGAGGGUAAAGACAUUGAAGGGGUCCUCUAAACUGGGAAACGGCAGUGGUUGAGCUCCUGGCAUUAAGCCAUUUUGGCCUUUUCUAGAUAGUCUUAAUAGCCUUCCCUGUUACACCAGACAAGAGAGCAUUCCUUAUCUGGCUGCUGAUGCUCUUUAAGGACAACCAAUUAGAAUGAGUUCAAGGGGGUUCAUUUCCCUGCAUGUAAUGUAGAAAUGGCUCACUUUCAAAAAGCUCCCAUGACAUUUAACUUGAUUAAUGGUUUUAUUUGUUUUUAGCUGUGUAUAUUUAUUGUUUUAUAUUGUGUGAUUUUAUCUAUACGCCACCCUGAGAUCCUAGUGAUAUAGGGCAGGAUACAAAUGUUUUCAAUAAAAUAAAUAAAUAAAUUUAAUCUGUUGGUACUGCUCUUUAUCCUAUGCCAGGAUUCCUUGAGGGUUGCAGAGGAAGCUCCUAGUAAGUUCAAGGCAGGAAUGUGGAUCAAGACAAGUAGGUAGGACCCUGGAUAGCUCCUAGAACUCUCUCCUACCAAGCUAAUAGGAAGGUAUUGUCUCAUCAGGGAGCUAAAGCCAACUAAAGCCAUAUGUACGUUGACAUACCGCUAGUGUGGUCAGCUUUGUCCCUCCUGGAAGAGCUAGCUGGAUUGUUAAAGGUCCCUUUCCUGAUUCUGCAGCCUGAGGCUUCUUCAAGGCUGGAGAGGUGGAAGUUCUGCUGGUAACUCAUCCUCUGAGCCAGAGAAUGAGUUAUGGCUGAUAGCAGGGCUGUGGCUGAGAGGGCCCUGAAUAAGGCACUUCCUAUCCCUGAAGAAGUAGCUUGGACCUCAUUGGAAUCCUCUAUGCCGCACUGGAAGAUUGAGGGCUGGGGGUCAUGACAGUCUUGGCCAAGUUUAGCAAAUACCAAAGGGUGCUUCCAUGAACCUGAGAAAAUGCAGAUAUAUCCUGCCCUGUCCACUUUUACUAAAGCAUAGUGAUCUUUGCAGCUGUGCUAGGACAAUAUAGUUAUCUAUAUAGUCUAUGUAGCAUGCACUGGUUAAACUGUGCAUUGGCUGCCUUUCCACAGAAACUCCCUUUCUUGAAUCUGUGGUAUAGUUUUCGAUAAAUAUAUCUUUAUUUUCAAAUAAUGCUUAUUUUAGGAUGGUGUUCUUUGGGUGUGUGGGUUUGUUUUUGUUUUUAGAACAUUGGUGGGUUUUUUUGCUGAAUGCCUCUUCCUUGCCCUGGAUGUGCAUCAUGAAUCACUUUUUCAGCUCCUCCUUCCCAUUUUGCUUUUCACAAAUUUACAGAGGAGCUUGUUCUAUCAAUGUGUGGUUUAUGCAAUAUCUUUGUGCAGUAUAAUAUCUGCAGCUUAACAAAAUUUCAUUCCCACCUCUUGAUUUCUGAUGCAACUGGUUCUCUCUCCCUCUUCCUCUAUCUCUGAACUCUGUAAAGCUGGAGUUGCCUUUUAUUGUUGCAUGCUAUGUGGUGACCAGAAUAUUGGUGAUGCUGUAUAAUGGGUAUCUGACUUGAUUCUGAAGCUGUGUUGUUCCUUUAAAGGAUCUUACAAGGUCAUGGAUACAAAGUGUGUUCAAUUCCAUGUUGCUUUGUCCUCUGAUAACUCACUUAAAGGGGAAAAAAAUAAAGUUGUGGAAUAAAGUA